UCUUUUUAUAUCUAUAAAAAAUUUGUAUAAUGUACUAUUUUAUUAGGGUGGUGGGGUGUAUAUAGGAAAAAGCAAAAGGACAAACAUAAACAGAAGAAGAAGAUAAAGUAUAGUUGUGAUGACUAGAAAAAAAAACUACUACUAUGGUUUGUUAUAUUGUUGAGUUGAAACCAAUCACUUUGUUCUAGCAAUAAACUAUCAUUGUCUACCAUACAGGCUUUUUUACUCACUUACUACUAAAAACCAUUUCAAAGUUUCAAUCUUUUUGAUCUAUUUUUUCAGUUCUUGGAUUUAUUUAGGCAAUUGGUUUUAUGGGGUUUUGAGAAAGAUUCAAGAAAGUUAACUUUUUUUUUUUUUUUUGAGUGUUUGGAUUUAUUUAGCCAAUUGGUUUUGUGGGUGGUUUUGAGAAAGGUUCAAGAAAGUUAACUUUUUUUUUUGUGUGUGUUUUUGGAUUUAUUUAGGCAAUUUGGUUUUAUGGGGUUUUGAGAAAGAUUCAAGAAAGUGAUUUUUUUUUUGUGUGUUUUGUGGUAAAGUUUUGAACAUUUUUGUGUGGGAUUCUUGAUUUUGGGUGCAAUCUUUUUUGUGUAUGUGUGUUUUGUGGUAAAGUUUUGAACUUUUUUGUGUGGGAUUCUUGAUUUUGGGUGCAAUCUUUUUGUGUGUGUUUGUGUGUGUUUUGUGGUAAAGUUUAGAACUUUUUUGUGUGGGAUUCUUGAUUUUGGGUGCAAUCUUUUUGUGUGUCUGUUUGUGUGUGUUUAGAACUUUUUUGUGUGGGGUUCUUGAUUUUGGGUGCAAUCAUUUUUGUGUGUGUGUUUUGUGGUAAAGUUUUGAACUUUUUUUGUGUGGGAUUCUUGAUUUUGGGUGCAAUUUUUUUUUUUUGUGGGGUUCAAGAAAAUGACUGUGGAAGAAAUUAGAGGGAAUAUGGUUGGUGGUGGUGAAAGGUUAAAUAAUUAUGAUAAUUUCCCUAUUGGUAUGAGGGUUCUUGCUGUUGAUGAUGACCCUAUUUGUUUGAAGCUUUUGGAUACUUUGCUCAGGAAAUGCCAGUAUCAGGCAACUACCACAAGUCAAGCAAGGAUGGCAUUGAAGAUGUUGAGGGAGAAUAGAGAUAGAUUUGAUUUGGUUAUCAGUGAUGUUCACAUGCCUGAUAUGGAUGGCUUUAAGCUUCUUGAACUUGUUGGUCUUGAGAUGGAUCUUCCAGUCAUAAUGUUGUCUGCAAACAGCGAUACCAAACUUGUAAUGAAGGGAAUCAGUCAUGGUGCUUGUGACUAUCUGGUGAAACCUGUGCGGAUCGAGGAGUUGAGGAAUAUAUGGCAACAUGUGGUCAGAAGAAAGAAGGUUGAACCUAAGAGCCAGAGCAAGUCUAGCGAUCAUGACAAAUCUUAUCAGGGAAGUGGAGAAAGUGGUCGAGGCCAAUCACCAACAGAUCAAAAUGGCAAAUGUAACAAGAAAAGGAAGGAAGAAGAAGACGAGAAUGAUGAAAAUGGGAAUGACAAUGAUGAUCCAACAACUCAGAAGAGAGCUCGUGUCGUUUGGUCCAUAGAGCUUCACAGGAAGUUUGUUGCAGCUGUCGGUCAGUUGGGCAUCGAAAAAGCUGUCCCAAAGAGGAUUCUUGAUCUGAUGAAUGUUGAGGGGCUUACAAGGGAAAAUGUGGCAAGCCAUCUCCAGAAGUAUAGGCUUUACUUGAAAAGAAUCAAUUCAGUACAAACCCAGCAAGCCAACAUGGUUGCUGCAUUAGGGGGAAGGGACUUUAUGCGAAUGGGCUCACUGGACGGGUUUGGAGAUUUUCGAACAUUGGGUGGAUCAGGACGGUAUCCUCAUGCUGCCUUGUCAUCAUCGUACACUUCGCCCGGAGGAGGCAUGCUUGGCAGACUAAAUAGUGCUGCUGGUCUAAGCGCUCGCCAGCUGGCAGGAUCUCAUGGUCAAACUUUGAGCAACCCCGUUAAUGCUUUCACAAAACUGAAUCCAAAUAUUUUACCUGCUAGCCAGAAUGCUAGUUUAUUUCAAGGAAUUCCUGCAUCAUUGGAGCUUGAUCAACUGCAGCAGAGUAAGUCCACGGGGCAUAUUCCUUUGGAUGAUGUGCUCGGUUGCUCAAAUAACUCCUUAUCCAAUGUACCAAAUAAUCCUAUAUUGCUUCAAGGAAAUCCCGUUGGAAAUCAGCACUCUCUAAACAUGACUCCAUUUAGCUCAGACUCGUUCAAUGCUGGUGUUAAUGGUUCUUCCAACUGGCAAAAUUCCAUUCAGUUAUCGAAGUUCCAGUCAAGUUCUUUCCCGUUGACUGAAUCCUUCAUUAACAGCCAUUUGCCUCAAAAUAGUGUGAGAGAAGCUGCGACAACUCAUUUACAAAACAGCCCUCUUGAUUUUACUUCCACUGCCACAGUUUCUCCUCCUUUUGAAGAUUCUUCAAGGGGAGAAUUCCAAUACCGUGAAAGUAUGGCUGGUGCUGUUCAGAGUAUGAAUCAACCACCGUCUCAAGCAUGGGCCGAUAAUAAACAACGUUUUUCCCACAACUCAAAUAAUACUUUCGGCAAUAACUUAAGCUCUCAGGUUCCAAACAAUGGUAGCAUGGCUUCUCUAAGGAUGGACAUGUCAUUGAUUGGUAGAUCGAAUGGAGGUUCUUCGACACUCGUGCAGCACACCGAGCAUGAAAAGUUAACCCCGGAUUCAAGGACAAGGUCAAAUGAAGACUACCUCUUGGAGCCAACCAGGCAACAAGUAGGUUUUAGUCCACAAGGCUAUGACUCCCUGGAUGAUUUAAUGUGUGCGAUGAAACGGAGGGCUUGGUGACAUAUUUUGCUUCCCCAACAAUAACAACCAAUGCCACAAAAGCGGGCUGAAUCAAAUGGCUCUGUUGGCUAUCUCUUCCUAUAGCUUCUCGGGAUUAAACACUGUUUCCCCGUGGGGUUAUCUGAUGUCAAUAAGGAGCAAGAUGGAGGAAUGUUAGAUGCAGAACAAUAUGGAUUUGAUAAUUAUCCUUUUGGAUCAUGACUAUGAAGGAUUUUGUAGCUGUCAGUGAAUUCAGCAAGAAGAGGAUCUAGCUAGGUUGCAGCAAUACUAAUUUUCUCCUUUAGGAGUUAGUGUCAAUAUGUAGUAUUUCCCGGGCUUUUAUCCCACGUUAGUCCCGCCUUAUUUUUCGUUAUUUUCUCCAGGAAAUGAUGUUAUUGACAGUACAAUUUCUAAUGCAAAUUGCUUGCUGCUUCUUAGCUUGUUUGCUUU